AGAGUUUGAUCCUGGCUCAGAUUGAACGCUGGUGGCAUGCUUAACACAUGCAAGUCGAACGGUAACAGGUCUUCGGAUGCUGACGAGUGGCGGACGGGUGAGUAACGCGUAGGAAUCUGCCAUCUGUGGGGGAUACCAGUUGGAAACGACUGUUAAUACCGCAUAAUAUCUGCGGAUUAAAGGUGGCCUUUGCGCUGCCGCAGAUGGAUGAGCCUGCGUUGGAUUAGCUAGUUGGUGGGGUAAGGGCCUACCAAGGCUACGAUCCAUAGCUGAUUUGAGAGGAUGAUCAGCCACAUUGGGACUGAGACACGGCCCAAACUCCUACGGGAGGCAGCAGUGGGGAAUAUUGGACAAUGGGGGAAACCCUGAUCCAGCAAUGCCAUGUGUGUGAAGAAGGCUCUAGGGUUGUAAAGCACUUUAGUUGGGGAGGAAAGCCUGUGAGUUAAUAGCUUGCAGGAAGGACGUUGCCCAAAGAAUAAGGACCGGCUAACUCCGUGCCAGCAGCCGCGGUAAUACGGGGGGUCCGAGCGUUAAUCGGAAUUACUGGGCGUAAAGGGUCUGUAGGUGGUUUGUUAAGUCAGAUGUGAAAGCCCAGGGCUCAACCUUGGAACUGCAUUUGAUACUGACAAACUAGAGUAUGGUAGAGGAAUAGGGAACUUCUGGUGUAGCGGUGAAAUGCGUAGAGAUCAGAAGGAACACCAAUGGCGAAGGCAACAUUCUGGACCAAUACUGACACUGAGGGACGAAAGCGUGGGGAUCAAACAGGAUUAGAUACCCUGGUAGUCCACGCUGUAAACGAUGAGUACUAGCUGUUGGAUUCGGUGUAAAGGAUCUAGUGGCGCAGCUAACGCGUUAAGUACUCCGCCUGGGGACUACGGCCGCAAGGCUAAAACUCAAAGGAAUUGACGGGGACCCGCACAAGCGGUGGAGCAUGUGGGUUUAAUUCGAUGCAACGCGAAGAACCUUACCUGGUCUUGACAUCCUGCGAACUUUCUAGAGAUAGAUUGGUGCCUUCGGGAACGCAGUGACAGGUGCUGCACGGCUGUCGUCAGCUCGUGUUGUGAAAUGUUGGGUUAAGUCCCGCAACGAGCGCAACCCCUAUUGAUAGUUACCAUCAUUAAGUUGGGUACUCUAUUGAGACUGCCGCUGACAAGGCGGAGGAAGGUGGGGACGACGUCAAGUCAUCAUGGCCCUUACGACCAGGGCUACACACGUGCUACAAUGGGUAUUACAGAGGGCUGCGAAGGUGCGAGCUGGAGCGAAACUCAGAAAGGUACUCUUAGUCCGGAUUGCAGUCUGCAACUCGACUGCAUGAAGUCGGAAUCGCUAGUAAUCGCAGGUCAGAAUACUGCGGUGAAUACGUUCCCGGGUCUUGUACACACCGCCCGUCACACCAUGGGAGUGGGUUGCUCCAGAAGUAGAUAGCUUAACGAAUGGGCGUUUACCACGGAGUGAUUCAUAACUGGGGUGAAGUCGUAACAAGGUAGCCGUAGGGGAACCUGCGGCUGGAUCACCU
rnacentral:rRNA from 2 species